UCUCUUGUACCUUUUUCAUUCUCUUUGAAGAAGAUUUCUUCGCCAUUAUUAAACCCCAAAUUUUGAUUAAGCUUCAAUAGCUUAAAAUUUCUGUUCAAUUUUGCACUAAAACCCUAACUACUGCACCGUUCGUCUAUAUAUAUGUUUAGGGUUUUAGGUUCGUCUGGAAAAAAAAACUUGCAGAGGUUUUAGGUUAGCUGAGUUGAGAGGAAGAAGGGGAAAGGGUUGGCUCCGAGUAAGCGAUAAUUUAGUGGGCUUUUAUAUCGGGCCCUCUCCAAAGUCCAAAGAGGAGGAGGCAAGGAGUCCAUUUCGAUACCAGAUUACUACUCCAACCCAAUAAUAUUCUUACUCAACUGACUUCGUUACAAGAGUUUUCGCUAUAUUUUG
rnacentral:lncRNA from 1 species